UAUCUGUGAUGUAAUAUGACA
rnacentral:miRNA from 1 species